GGGCUCGUAACUCAGUGGUAGAGUGCUCGCUUUGCAUGCGAGAAGUCCGGUGUUCGAUCCACCGCCAGUCCA
rnacentral:tRNA from 1 species